UACGUAGGGUGCAAGCGUUGUCCGGAAUUAUUGGGCGUAAAGAGCUUGUAGGCGGUUUGUCGCGUCUGCUGUGAAAUUUCGGGGCUCAACCCCGAACUUGCAGUGGGUACGGGCAGACUAGAGUGUGGUAGGGGAGACUGGAAUUCCCGGUGUAGCGGUGAAAUGCGCAGAUAUCGGGAGGAACACCAAUGGCGAAGGCAGCUCGCUGGGACGUGACUGACGCUGAGACGCGAAAAGCGUGGGGGAGCGAACAGG
rnacentral:rRNA from 1 species